rnacentral:rRNA from 1 species
CCUACGGGAGGCUGCAGUGGGGAAUAUUGGACAAUGGGGGGAACCCUGAUCCAGCGACGCCGCGUGAGUGAAGAAGUAUUUCGGUAUGUAAAGCUCUAUCAGCAGGGAAGAAAGAAAUGACGGUACCUGACUAAGAAGCCCCGGCUAACUACGUGCCAGCAGCCGCGGUAAUACGUAGGGGGCAAGCGUUAUCCGGAUUCACUGGGUGUAAAGGGAGCGUAGACGGCGAGACAAGUCUGGAGUGAAAGGCCGGGGCCCAACCCCGGGACUGCUCUGGAAACUGCCUGGCUGGAGUACAGGAGAGGUAAGUGGAAUUCCUAGUGUAGCGGUGAAAUGCGUAGAUAUUAGGAGGAACACCAGUGGCGAAGGCGGCUUACUGGACUGUAACUGACGUUGAGGCUCGAAAGCGUGGGGAGCAAACAGGAUUAGAGACCCCAGUAGUC